UGGACUGCACUCGCAACAGAAUAUAUUAUCGAUUAAAUGUUAAUGACACAGUAAAUGAGAAUAAGCUGGUGGCAUUUUUUUAGUUGUAGGUGAAGCGCAUUUGAAAGCAAACCUACCGACCUGUCGUGCAACGGGUAUUCAUGGUACACUGAAGCACGCGUUGUACAGCAGAACUAUGGAAGCCAGGAAGUCGCUGUGUAAGCGUGAUCUCGUGGUUUGAAUUGUGGAUUUCAUGGCUGAAUAUAGAUUAUAUAUGUGGGCAUUACGCACCCUGUGUUCUUAGUCUUUGCUUUGUGUACUCGCAGUGAUAUUUUUGCCAAACUUGACGACCCGUGGGUACAUUUUCGGCAUAUUGUUAUUAAAAUGAAGCAACAAGAUAAACUACAGUAUCCAUGUUCCAGUACAUGAGUUCACUGCGUCAACCGAUACUGCCAUAGCGUAACAUUCUAAAAAUAUCAACUUGCAUUUUUAAAAUGUGUAACCUUCUUAUUUUAAUAUAAUCUUACCACAACUUUUUAUUGUCCACUGUUUGGCUGAUGUGGUUUAAGAAUAUUCUUUUUUAAUACACCAGCACGCGGUCUCACAAUGAAGUACUUCUCACGUGGGAUAGUUUUAAAGUCGUUUUCUGAACGUGGCACGCGCGGAGUAGGAAUUGGAUCACGUUUGCUAUUAUUAUUAUUAUUAUUAUUGUUGUUGUUGUUGUUGUUAAGUUUCUCAAUAUUUUUGUUGUUGUUUAACCCUUUCAUUUUGUUCAUUUUUUCCAAUUCCGGGAAAUUGUUAUUCUGGUAAAGAGUGACGUCCCCCAUGUGUUGGCCUAACUAAUGUUGAUAAUUAUACAAUACAAUAAUAACCUAAUGUCCAAUUUCCCCCCUAAUAUCUCCAUCACACUUAAUAUUGUAUUACACUUUUGCUGUUAUGACUACAUAGGCCUAACGUUAUACAGUUACACAGAGAUGGAAAAUAACCAAGAAUUUUGCCGACGAAUUUGUUAUUGGCAUCACUGAUUUAAAUUAUGCUUGUAGAAAAGGUGUUGGUGCUCUUCAGUUGUUAUUAAAUGUUUGUACUGGAUAGCCCACGUUACGGAAGUUUUAUUUUGCGUUUUUUCACCCGGUAGACCUACUCGCCAUUUUAGGAAGGUCUGAACUGUCUCCCGGCGUGCCACAAGAGGGUGUUGCGAGCUUAAAUGAAGCGACACUUCAGGACUUCAUUAUGACAGUACUUAAAAAUGUUUUCUACUACGCGCCUGUAAACCGAAAGAUUGUGCACAGAGUUGAGCUAACUGGUUCUGAAGUACUAUUUUGGGAAACUGGGAAUAUUUAAAGCGCCCAGCUGUUAUGCUUGCCCUCUGUACCACUCAGAAUUACAUAACUAAAGCUCUAGUUCCUGGAA